rnacentral:lncRNA from 9 species
UUUUUUUUUUUUUGUCAUUUCUUGGGCUGCUCUCAUGGCAUAUGGAGGUUCCCAGGCUAGGGGUCAAAUCGGAGCUACAGCUGCCGGCCUACGCCACAGCCACAGCAAUGCCAGAUCCGAGCCUUGUCUGCUCCUUACACCACAGCUCAUGGCAACAGAGGCCAGGGAUUGAACGCACAUCCUAAUGGAUCCUAGUUGGAUUCAUUUCUGCUGUGCCACAAUGGGAACUCCCCUUCCUUUGUAUUUUAAAGAACAGUGUCUAAAGUAGGUCCCAUCCUUUUGUUAUUCUCAACCACAGUUCCAACGGUUGAGUGUCUCCUGGGAUAUGCAUGCUCUGUUCCAUUUCUUUCUUUUUUUAAACAGACCCAGAGUCCCAGAAGAAGUUAGAUGUUGUGCUUACAAACUGCAUACACAUGGGCAUCAUGGAAGUGCAAAACUCCAAUAAAGAAAUAAGCACAUGGUUUCUUAGUUCAUUUUUUAUGUUAAUGAUGAAAGUGCAGGUAAGAAAAUAAGAACUAGCCUUAAGGACAUAUAAGUGAUGGAAAGAGAAGGAAAAUUCUAGGUGGAGCCCAGAGAAGUUAUCAUUCUCUUCCUAUCAACAUUGGGUGGAUGUGCAGGCCCCUUGCUUUAUAGCAGCAGAACAAAAUAAAAUGACUGAUGAUCAAAGAAACUCACAGAUGCCUACAGAAUUAAAUUAUCAACCCACUUUGACAUUUUGCAAGUAUAAAUAGAAACAGAAAUAACUAGAGGUGUAGAAAUAGUUGAAGAAGCCCCUCAACAUUAAAUUCUAAACUUCAAAUUUGAAACACCUAGAGAUUGGGGUUUCUCUGUAAUCUAUAAAUCAGCCUUGAUUCAAAGAAAUAGCCAGGCUGGCAUGGGGGAGCAACUUUAGAUCUGGCCAGCACAGGACCUGGGGAGGCUCAGUAGAGACCCACUAUCUGUUAAUAAGGAAGAAGACCCAAAACAGAGCCAGGACAAAUAAUUCUGUCAUUUUACUGUCAAAAGUGUCCAACCAUUCUUUAUUGUGAAAAGGAUACAUAAUUAAGCUGUAUCUUUAUAUUAUUAUUUUUUUUUUACUAUUUGGCAUAUUAUUCAUUCCCAGUGAUGUUUCAUUUCUCCUCAAAUGAUUCUUUUGCAACCUUUAGAAAGCCCUGCAAUUUCCUUUUCAUUUGGCCGAACGUGGCAGACACAGGAGGGAGAGCUUCUAAAUCCUGUUGCUCAGAAUAUGGCUUUUUUUUUUUUUUUUUUUUUUUUUUUUUUGUCUUUUCAGGGUCGCACCCACUGCAAAUGGAGGUUCCCAGGCUAGGGGUCUAAUCGAAGCUACAGCUGCCAGCCUACACCAGAGCCACAGCAACGCCAGAUCUGAGCCACGUCUGUGACCUAUAGCACAGCUCAUGGCAAUGCCUGAUCCUUAACCCACUGAGUAAGGCCAGGAAUCGAACUCAAAACCUCGUGGUUCCUAGUUGGAUUCCUUUCUGCUGCACCACAACGGGAACUCCCAGAAUAUGUUUAAAAAAAAAAAAAAAGCAGGACCCCAGACAGGUGUGUAACUGUUUGAAUGGGCUAUCUCUUAUACAACUAGGAAUAAGACCUACUUGGAAGAAGUUUUGCUCUAGAAACUGUUGAUGCUCUUGACUUAUUGAGGGGAGUUCCAUAAAAUGGCCAUUACCAACUGUAUAAGACAAAACUCGUGUUAGCUCGAAGGUUAGUCCCUGUUUUAAAAUCCCAAAAAAGAUAAACCCUAUUAUGGGCCAUUUCCACUUUCCCCACUGCUUCCCUGACAAGAGGUAAUGUGGGUCUGAGGAGGAAACUGAAGAUUCAUGGCCCAAAUAGAGCAGAAGUCUUGUCUUGUGUAACUGCCCAAAUGCUAAUACAAACUCAUUGUUGCUCAAUUUGUUCUUUAAAAGCUGUGCUUUAUUCUAUUAACUUUGAUUUGCCCUCUUAGCUUCUGUCAUUUUUCCAUACUGGACUGUCCUGGCAAUCCUCCUCACCUUUCUGUCUGGGUUUCAGUCUCUGACAGGGGCUCUGUGCCUAGGUCUCCCUGCCAGGAUCCAUCUGGCCCAUCGGUAACUAACAGUCAUCUUAGCCUUGUCCAGUGGUGAUAGCUUCACCCGUAGAUUUAACUGAGACAAAACUGAACAACUUACCAUAAAUAUCGGAGUCAAGAAAAAAUUAUUAGGAGACUAGGCGUACAUAAGUUUAGAUAAAAACAGAGAAGGCAGGACGACAGUGUGGUCCAAGUAAUUUUCUCUGUGCAAAGAUGCCUUCUAUUUAGUAUAACUAAACACAUUACUUCUGGGGAAAAAAAACAACAACAACAAAAAUUCACACUCCAAAAAAGGGAGAAAAACUAGUAUUGAGAGCAAUUAUGAGUAUGACUUAAAAUGUCACUUUUCAUCUGUUGUACAGGAGAGUAAAUAUCAUGAAAACUUAACCAUGAUAAGGAAAAAAAAACACUUAACCAUGAUGAAAUAUUUGUCAAACAGUAUUUGUUCCUAUAUUAAGAAAUUAAUACCCACAUGCACAACUUUGAGUUGAUAGAAACUAAAAACUUAAGGUAAUAGAAUUAAGGAUUUCAUUUUCCUUUUUAGAGUUUUAUAUAUUUUUCAAAUUUUUUGGAAAGGCGUUUUGGAAAUAGAAAAAAAAAAAA